rnacentral:rRNA from 1 species
AGUGAACGCUGGCGGUAGGCCUAACACAUGCAAGUCGAACGGCAGCACAGUAAGAGCUUGCUCUUACGGGUGGCGAGUGGCGGACGGGGGAGGAAUACAUCGGAAUCUACUUUUUCGUGGGGGAUAAAGUAGGGAAACUUACGCUAAUACCGCAUACGACCUACGGGUGAAAGCAGGGGAUCUUCGGACUUUGCGCGAUUGAAUGAGCCGAUGUCGGGUUAGCUAGUUGGCGGGGUAAAGGCGCACCAAGGGGACGGUCCGUAGCUGGUCUGAGAGGAUGAUGACCCACACUGGGGGUGAGACACGGUCCAGACUCCGACAGGAGGCAGAGGUGGGGAAUAUUGGACGAUGGGCGCAAGCCUGAUCCAGCCAUACCGCGUGGGUGAAGAAGGCCUUCGGGUUGUAAAGCCCUUUUGUUGGGAAAGAAAAGCAGCAGGUUAAUACCCCGCUGUUCUGACGGUACCCAAAGAAUAAGCACCGGCUAACUUCGUG